GUUCAGUUGAAGAGUCUCGAAUAAGAUGAAACACGUGUACUGAAU
rnacentral:hammerhead_ribozyme from 1 species